rnacentral:rRNA from 1 species
GAUGAACGCUGGCGGCGUGCCUAAUACAUGCAAGUCGAGCGAACAGACGAGGAGCUUGCUCCUCUGACGUUAGCGGCGGACGGGUGAGUAACACGUGGAUAACCUACCUAUAAGACUGGGAUAACUUCGGGAAACCGGAGCUAAUACCGGAUAAUAUAUUGAACCGCAUGGUUCAAUAGUGAAAGACGGUUUUGCUGUCACUUAUAGAUGGAUCCGCGCCGCAUUAGCUAGUUGGUAAGGUAACGGCUUACCAAGGCAACGAUGCGUAGCCGACCUGAGAGGGUGGUCGGACACACUGGAACUGAGACACGGUCCAGACUCCUACGGGAGGCAGCAGUAGGGAAUCUUCCGCAAUGGGCGAAAGCCUGACGGAGCAACGCCGCGUGAGUGAUGAAGGUCUUCGGAUCGUAAAACUCUGUUAUUAGGGAAGAACAAAUGUGUAAGUAACUAUGCACGUCUUGACGGUACCUAAUCAGAAAGCCACGGCUAACUACGUG